UACGGAGGGUGCAAGCGUUAAUCGGAAUUACUGGGCGUAAAGCGCACGCAGGCGGUUGAUUAAGUCAGAUGUGAAAUCCCCGGGCUCAACCUGGGAACUGCAUUUGAAACUGGUCAGCUUGAGUCUCGUAGAGGGGGGUAGAAUUCCAGGUGUAGCGGUGAAAUGCGUAGAGAUCUGGAGGAAUACCGGUGGCGAAGGCGGCCCCCUGGACGAAGACUGACGCUCAGGUGCGAAAGCGUGGGGAGCAAACAGG
rnacentral:rRNA from 1 species